rnacentral:rRNA from 1 species
AUUGAACGCUGGCGGCAGGCCUAACACAUGCAAGUCGAACGAAUGGCGGACGGGUGAGUAAUGUCUGGGAAACUGCCCGAUGUAGGGGUAUAACUACUGGAAACGGUAGCUAAUACCGCAUACCAUCGGAUGUGCCCAGAGGGGAUUAGCUAGUAGGUGGGGUAACGGCUCACCUAGACGACGAUCCCUACCUGGUCUGAGAGGAGGACGAGCCACACGUGAACUGAGACACGGUCCAGACUCCUACGGGAGGCAGCAGUGGGGAAUAUUGCACAAUGGGCGCAAGUCUGAUGCAGCAAUGCCGCGUGUAUGAAGAAGGCCUUCGGGUUGUAAAGUACUUUCAGCGAGGAGGCGUUACUCGCAGAAGAAGCACCGGCUAACUCCGUGCCAGCAGCCGCGGUAAUAC